UAGACCGAAACAGAAGAUUCCCUAUGGUCGCUACAUGCCUCACCGGGGAGGAAUACACGCGCCAGUGGCAGGAGAGGGAUGAGAAGGAGAGGGCCGAGGCAGAGGAGAAAGAGCUGCCAUGGAUGAGACCAUUGACGCAAUUGCCUCUGCUGGACUCUCAGCGCUCCCCUCAGCCCCUCUCCCAAACAUGGACCUGAGCCCUAGGACCAUGCCUCACGACUAUCUGGUCUGAGAACUCCUGGCUGUUCUUUUCCCCAGUCCACCUGGUUGUGCUGCUGGUCCAGUUUCUGCUGUUUUGCCUGUGGCUAUUGAACCCUGACCUGUUCACCGGACGUGCUACCUUAUCCCGGACCUGCUGUUUUUGACUCUCUCUCUCUCUCUCUCUCUCUCUCUCUCUCUCUCUCUCUCUCAACCUCUGAAUGCUCAGCUAUGAAAAGCCAAAUGACAUUUAUUCCUGAGGUGCUGACCUGUUCCACCCUCUACAACCACUGGGAUUAUUAUUUGACCCUGCUGGUCUUUAAUGAACAUUUUAAGAUUUUGAAGUAUGAUCUGGCCUUAAUGGCCAUGUACUCUUAAAAUCUCCAACCGACCACCCUUAGAGUCUGGUUCCUCUCUAGGUUUCUUCCUAGGUUCCUGCUUUCUAGGGAGUUUUUUCUAUCCACCGUUCUCCUACAUCUGCAUUGCUUGCUGUGUGGGGUUUUAGGCUGGGUUUCUGUAUAAGCACUUUGUGACAUCUGUUCAUGUAAAUAGGGCUUCAUAAAUGCAUUUUGAUUUAAUUUCAAAUGGCAUGAAUUAUAUUAUUUUACCAUUUAAAGUGGAACGUUUGAAUAAAUAUAGGCCUACUACCUCUAUAUUCUUAUACUCUAAUUACUAGUUGUACAUUCAUCAACCUUACAGUUUCCGAUGCUCAUGAUACCUGCAUCUGAUGGUCAACGAUGUCAAAUCAUGACGUCAGUAAUCUUCAGGUCGAAAAGUUGGAGCUCUAGAAAGAUGCCCGAGUUUCCGACUUGUAAUUCCGAGUUGGAUGACCAUUCAAAACGAUUUUUCUCAACCGCCUGUCACGGUUCCUGCUCUCUCCUUCCUUUCCUCUGGUGAGACUGACCAGAGAGAGGGGACACCGUCUUCCACCUGAUGGCGAAACUUGAGUCGCACCGCAUCUGCCUCAUGCACAAAUUCAUGUUGUUCCUAUGACCAGAGAAAGUUAAAUAUUCCUUAAUAUUAAAAUCAACACGAC
rnacentral:lncRNA from 1 species